rnacentral:rRNA from 1 species
GAUGAACGCUGGCGGCGUGCCUAAUACAUGCAAGUCGAGCGAACAGACGAGGAGCUUGCUCCUCUGACGUUAGCGGCGGACGGGUGAGUAACACGUGGAUAACCUACCUAUAAGACUGGGAUAACUUCGGGAAACCGGAGCUAAUACCGGAUAAUAUAUUGAACCGCAUGGUUCAAUAGUGAAAGACGGUUUUGCUGUCACUUAUAGAUGGAUCCGCGCCGCAUUAGCUAGUUGGUAAGGUAACGGCUGACAAGGGCAACGAUGCGUAGCCGACCUGAGAGGGGGAUCGGCCACACUGGAACUGAGACACGGUCCAGACUCCGACGGGAGGCAGCAGUAGGGAAUCUUCCGCAAUGGGCGAAAGCUUGACGGAGCAACGCCGCGUGAGUGAUGAAGGUCUUCGGAUCGUAAAACUCUGUUAUUAGGGAAGAACAAAUGUGUAAGUAACUAUGCACGUCUUGACGGUACCUAAUCAGAAAGCCACGGCUAACUACGUG